CACUAUCAUAGUUCCUUCUUGAUUACAAAGAUUCAAUACAAAAAAUUACAAGAUUUAGAGUUUUCCUAAAUCUACCCAAAUCUCUUCCUGUGACCAAUAAAUUUCAAUGAUAAGUGAUUACAAGGUGUUAGAUUUACUUCCCAACCCCUAGAAAUUACCCAAGAGAAACCCUCUUAUAUUCCUAGCCUUUAUGUUGGAAGCAAGAACACUAAAACCUAAUUUUCUCUCUCUCUCUCUUAAAACGCAGCAGCAAAACAAAUCUGCAUAUAUAUGAACAGUGCCACGCCCGCAUGAACAGUGCCAUGCCCCGCGUGGUGGACAACUGCUGAACCAACAACACAAUUUUCUGCUCUAUUUGAAGGCAAAUCUACACAUAGUUUUUU
rnacentral:lncRNA from 1 species